UGGAUCUUUGACACAAUCAAAUUGGCAAAGAUGCUCAAGAGUCAGUGGGAACAAGAGUGAGCUAGGAGACAGCAAACAUGUAAGCAAGGAGAAGAAGCCCUCGGGGACCAGGGAGGCUGGAGGAGCCGCCGACCGAAAGUAGAGACCCGACCAGAUUGGGGACUUGCUGAGAAAGGCUCUUUGUUCCUGGACAAGGUUGCAUCAACACAGUCAGAAUAGAUAUCAGUGGCUGGGACCUUCAAGCAGCUGACAGUGACCUUGGCUGGAGGAUGGAUGGUGCAGGGUGCUGGAGACACCACAUAGAGCCGAGUGGAAAUAGUUUCACAGGGUUACUGCAGGGCACGUUUUCCUGGCCGUUUCUCUUGGGUCUAUUUCUUGGUCUUUCCUUACCCUGUUCUGAAUCAAAAGGCCUGACCUCUGCCUGUUGCUUUUCCAAGACUGGAGGAUGGGAAGCACUGACAGAGAAUAAGGCAACCAGAAUACUGCUUGGCUGCUGCUGAGGUCAUCAUUGAGCUCCUGCUGACACGCUGAGCCGGUCAGAGAGCCCAGGACCUCAGAGGAGGUAAGUAUAGCCCUGGAGACACGACAGAAGGCAUCAUUCAGAGGAUGGAAGUGUUACGUUUGGCUCUGGUUGUACAGGACCCGGUCACCAUGCUGGGGAUGAGGACAGAGCAUCCGUGCAUCAUGGGCCACCGUGGACUGCAGUGGGAGAGAGAAAGGCCAUGUGGGACUGUGUCCUUGGGGGAUAUGAUUUUUCAUGCUGUGUAAUGAACCUGCAACAGGGAAGGGCAUUUCAUUGUGGGUUUUACUGCACUAGGCAAUUCUGACAGGUAUAUGGAUACUUAUUCCAACUUGCAGUCAUAAGAUGAAGACAGUAGUUGGGAAGCUGCCUGGCUUGCAGUGAUGUAUUUGGAGAGAGGGCGUAACAUCCAAAGUUCAGAGAACAACAGAGUACAAUCAUGAAGUCCUAGGGUCAUUUGCUUAUGUCUUCUACUCCCUUCACUAGAAACAGGGCUGCAACCAAAUAUCACAGGGCAGUUUAAAAACAUGAAUCUCUAGUUGGCAGUCCCAGCGGGGACCCCCCCUUCAAGCCACGCCAGCAAGGUGUCAGAUGCGUGCAUACAUUGACCUCUUGGCCAGUACCUCUUCGAGGAGCUUCAAUCAAUGUCUCAUGUAACAGGCCAACCUGCUGAGCCCUGUGCAAAUUCCUGACUCACAAAAUCAUGAAAUAUAACAAAAUGGUUGUUAUUCAAAGGCACUAAAUUUGGGGGCAACUUGUUUUGCAGCAAUAGCUAACUAGAAUAUACUCCUACCUAGACAAGUUUCUAAUCUAGUCCCAGAUGUAUCUUAGUAAGUACUGUUUGCCACUUAGUAGUGCUUCGGUGUCAAACAGUCAUCAGCAUCUUUAAUGACUGCCUGGUGCAAGCCCCAGUGAUGUGCAGGAUAUGAAGCACAGGCGCCUGUUUCUGACCUACAGGAUCUGAUAAAAUAAUAAUUAUGGGAUAUCAUUUAUCGAGUGAUUGCUAUGAAUUAGGCUAAUAAUUCUCAAAGUCGGUACUGAAAGAUCAGUGUCCGCAUCAUCUUGGAAUUGCUUAGAAAUGUAAAUCCUCAGGUCCUACCCCAGACUUAUUGAACCAGAAACUCUGGGAGUGGGCCCAGCAAUAGGUAGUUUAGUAAACCCGCCAGGUGAUUCCAGGGCACGUGACAGUCUGAGAGUCACCUGAAGUACACACUUGACUUACUUGACCUCAUUGAAUCCUCACCGAACCCUGGGUUUCUCACUCUUGCCAGGACUGACGUUUGGGGCAAGAGAAUUCUUGCUGUGGUUGACCUGUGCAUUGUAGGAUGUUUGAUGUUUGACAGCAUCCAGGCCCCUACCCACUAAGGCCAGUAACGCCUCUCUCCCCAGUUGUGAUAACUAAAAAUGUCACUAGACACUGCCAUAUGUCCUCUGGGAGUCAGAAAUCGCCUCCACAUGAGAACCAUGACUUUAACCCUAUGAGGUAGUGUUUGAAAAUAGACCCAGAAUUGAUUUUGAAUGGGUAUGGUAAGACAGGUAGACAUGGAAAUGGCUGUCACAAAGAAAGAAGUUUUUAUUCAGAGUUCCCUAGAAACAGGAGGUGGUGUGCUACAUCAUGGGGAGGCCACAAAGCAGAGUACCAGGGUCAGUAAGGAGGCAGAGGGAGCAGGGGAAAUAGAGGUUAAGAGCCUUUAUUUUGGCUUCUGUGCAAAGGAAAAGGUGAGGCAUGGUAAGUGGGGAUAGGACUAGCUGGUUUGGAUCAUUUUAGUGGGCUCUGGGGCCAAAGGACUGUUCCUAGUUGCUCUGGGGAGAUUAGGGCAUGGGCUAAUGGUCAGAAUAUGAGACCCCAAUAAAAGAGGUGGUUAGGGGUACGGGCUUUGGAUUGGUUGGCUCACACAUGAGAAGGAUGCUUGCAGGCUAGUCCCUUGCCAACUCUAGGAAUUGACUAGCCCUGAGAGGGGGCAGUCUCCUGGAAGUCAGCAAGGCCCCCGAUGUCAAGGCAUCAGCAUACGAAGGAGUGCUUGAUACAGGCAGGCACAGUUGCCCUAUUUUAUAGAUAGCAAAGCCGAAGUGCACAGAGGUAACCUGUCAUAAGUCAUCUCUUCCCCAAGGGGAGGACCCAUGUUGAAACUUAGGUCUAUGUACCCCUCCAACCGUGCUGUUACCUGUGUGCUAUACUGCUGUUCAUCUAGCUGGUUGAGCACACGUGUGAGCAUCUAUAACUAUAUAAAAAGAUACCUGACACAGCAGAGGAGGAUGUUGAAAAAUUUCUACAUGAAAUAAUUACACGAAGCAAUGAGGAGAAGAGAUGGCCUAUAGCGGUCAAAAAGGCUUUGUAGAAAAUAUGUCAUUCAGACUGCUAGUACCAUUAUGCUUGCUGGAGGGUCUUGAAAGUUGGAGAAAACGAAGCUAGGCAAAACUGUGGAGAAAGAAUAUUCUGAAAAGAUGGGAAAUGAUGUGAUCACAGGCUCAAAGGCUCCUAGGAGUGUGCAAGGUCUGAUGAAAACACCAAGUGUUAAUAGGCUGCUUUGGUUACUUGAAAGUAGAUUAGAAGGAAAAAGAAGAAAAGGGGGCUGCAGCUGGAUGCCACCCACUUUAAUAAGCUAAAUCCAUCAGAAGCAGUGCACGGAAGCACAAAAUAUUCAACAUGAUGAACUAAAUAUCGACACACACAAAAAAAUCCCCAUUGAAAAGCAGUGCCAUAAUUCCAAUGCCUGGGCUCCAUGAAAUUUAGAGUAAGAAUCAAGCUGGAAAUUUCUACUUUGACAUGUUGCAAAAUCUUCAGCUGGGCUGGGAAUGGGUGACCAACAGGGACUGCACAAAGAAAGCCCUUUCCACUGAGACUAAACGAGCGUCAAAGGCCUUGGGAAGGGGAGCGGACCGCCAUUCAUUUACUUAGAGGUUUCUGAGAGCUGAUGCUGCGCCAGGCACUGUGCUGGACGACAGAUCAUUAGUCACAUUAAUAAAACAGGAUCUCUGCUGUUGAGGGACGAACAAAGUAGGGAGCUCACCCGGGCAGAGCAGAGGAGACUUCUGUCCAGCCGGGCGGUGGAGAGGUACAGAACGAAUGGGCACCUGUCCAGGUGGUGAAAUCCCAAGAGGAACCUGCAAAGAUCAAGGUCCCUCCCUGGAGGCAGGGGUGCCCUCCGUCAUCGCUCUCACGCCGCCGGGCGAGUGUCAUAGUGCACACCAUUGCUGGGGCCACCCCCCAGGGGUACUGAUUCCCUGGGUGACAAAGGGAAUGCUACCCUCAGUCCUUGACAACUCCAUCAAUACCUUCGUUUCCAAUUGACAUUUCCGCAGAAGGCCUUAGCAAGAAUUUAGCCAGAAUGCAAGCUCCAGCUGGGCCGAGAUAUUUGCCUAUUUUGCUCAUUGCCAUAUCCAGAGUGCUUGGCCCACGUUAGGGACUCAGUGAGUCUUUCUGGAAUGAAUGAGUGGACACAUACACAUGCUAGAGGUAGGGGAAGGGCAGACGUCAAGAAGAAAUAACAAGAAAGGGGUACUUUUAAUAAGGAGGUUGGAACGAUAUGAGGUCCUGACUUGAUUUUUACCAAAGUUCUGCGGUGUUUGGGGAGAAGCAAAACCCUCUGGUCUUGCUCUGCUGAACUAGAAUUAUGAGUUGAAUGGCUGCUCUUAAAUAGGCAUCCUAAGAAAUGGUGUGGUCAUGACAAAAUAACCAUUAAGUGCCUUUCAAAUCCUCCAAAGGCUCCUGUCUGUGACUAUUUCUAACCCGCAGGCUGGGCCACAAGAAUUCUCUGACAGGGCUCUGCGUCUCCUCGCUCACACACAUCUACCAACUCACUGUGGACUCAGGCCCCAGGAACAGCCCAGGCGCCCUGCCGUCACGCCUCCUUCCUAAGGCCGGUGCACCGGCUGGAAAGCACAGACCUUGGAAACGGUGGAGGAGAAAAAUCAGGGCAUCCCAGCAAGUUAAGCAAACACCUAAUCAAGUGUCUGGACACAAGGACUGUGUUGCCAGAUUUUUAUAAAAUUAUUUUCAAUGGGAAAAGCGGUCUUGCUCCAGAUGUAGCAAACAUUAGGUCUUCAAUGCCCCCUACCCCCACCCCACCUCCGGCCCAAGUCCUUAAGUACUUUUCAAAAUUCUCAGUUCAGAUUUUGACUUUAAUUCGCUCCUUCUACUUACAUACCUUCUUGGGAAAAAUUUUUUUUCCUUGUAUACCUUUUCUCCUUUCUUGUCUCACUAAUCAAUGUCUGUAUUUGGCCGAGAUCUCCUUUAACUUGGGCCCAACAAUGGGUGGGCCUCCAGAGGCGGGCAGAAAGGGAGCAGGUCUCUUUAACAGAACCAAGCAGAUCACAAAAUGUCUGUCAAAAGAACACUGUCUGCCUCAAGCUUCCCACUCUGAUGGGCUCAGUGCCGAGCUCUGAUUUGCUCUAGUUAAAAAAAAAAAAAAAAAAAAAAAAAUCCCCUAAUUUUACU